GAUGAAGAACGUAGCGAAAUGCGAUAAGUAGGGUGAAUUGCAGAAUUCAGUGAAUCAUCGAAUCUUUGAACGCACAUUGCGCCCUUUGGUAUUCCAAAGGGCAUGCCUGUUCGAGCGUCAUUUGUACUCUCAAGCUUUGCUUGGUGUUGGGCGUCUUGUCUCUAGCUUUGCUGGAGACUCGCCUUAAAGUAAUUGGCAGCCGGCCUACUGGUUUCGGAGCGCAGCACAAGUCGCACGCUCUAUCAGCAAAGGUCUAGCAUCCAUUAAGCCUUUUUUUCAACUUUUGACCUCGGAUCAGGUAGGGAUACCCGCUGAACUUAAGCAUAUCAAUAAGCGGAGGA
rnacentral:misc_RNA from 1 species